rnacentral:rRNA from 1 species
CCUACGGGGGGCAGCAGUGAGGAAUAUUGGUCAAUGGACGAGAGUCUGAACCAGCCAAGUAGCGUGAAGGAUGACUGCCCUAUGGGUUGUAAACUUCUUUUAUAUGGGAAUAAAAUGUUCCACGUGUGGGAUUUUGUAUGUACCAUAUGAAUAAGGAUCGGCUAACUCCGUGCCAGCAGCCGCGGUAAUACGGAGGAUCCGAGCGUUAUCCGGAUUUAUUGGGUUUAAAGGGAGCGUAGGUGGAUUGUUAAGUCAGUUGUGAAAGUUUGCGGCUCAACCGUAAAAUUGCAGUUGAAACUGGCAGUCUUGAGUGCAGUAGAGGUGGGCGGAAUUCGUGGUGUAGCGGUGAAAUGCUUAGAUAUCACGAAGAACUCCGAUUGCGAAGGCAGUUCACUGGACUGCAACUGACACUGAGGCUCGAAAGUGUGGGUAUCAAACAGGAUUAGAUACCCGUGUAGUC